UUUAAAGAAAUUAGCCUUUUGCCUAGCAUUUUUGAAUAAGAUUGAAAUUCUUUUUUUUUCGUUCUGAAAUUAUUGCUGACCAGACUCUCACAAUUAGCGAAAAAGACUGGACUUCUAAUCAACAAAAAGAAAACACAAGUUAUGAGGAUCAACAACAGACAAGAGAACCCAAUCAUGCUACAGGGAGAGAACAUCCUUGAUUCGGGCCACGUCACUUAUCUGGGAAGUAGAGUUGGUAAAGACGGCGGAGCUGAUGAUUAUAUACUAAUUCGGAUCAAUAAAGCUAGGUUUGCCUUUUCAACUCUUCAAACUAUCUGGCGCUCUAAGGCAUUAUCUCUACACAACAAGAUACGAAUCUAUAAUACAAACGUUAAGUCUGUCCUUCUAUACGGUUCAGAAACUUGGAGAGUCACUAAAACAAAUAUGGAAAAGCUCCAGACCUUUGUUAACAGAUGCCUGCGCCGGAUAUUAGGAAUUAGGUGGCCAGAAAAGAUAACUACUAUCGAUUUGUGGGAGAGAACUAGACAAAAGCCCAUAGCCCAAAACAUCACAAAACGAAAAUGGAGCUGGAUAGGACACACCCUGCGAAAACCAUCUACCAAUGUUGCAAGGCAAGCACUUGACUGGAACCCACAAGGAAAGAGGAAAGUGGGCAGACCCAAGCAAACUUGGAAGAAGUCAGUCAUCAGUGAAGCUGAGGGUACUGGAAUGACAUGGGAGCAGAUGAAGAAAGCUGUUCAGAACCGAGUUCGGUGAAGAGGUGUGGUUGCGGCCCUAUGCUCCCCUGGGAGUGCACAGGAUUAAGUAAGAUGUUGGCAAGUUUAUCUUCAUCUAUUUCACAGUCGUGAUUGCCUUUAGAUGUGGAAUAAUAAGCUUCUACAGUAUUUCCAAGAAUGAGAAUUUUGCAGCCUCUUAGAGACCACUGGGACAUUGUUCUGGGCUGCCUUUGGUAUCGGGAACUCUCAGGCACCAGCUAUUAAAGAAGAAACAAAUAGCUGUUAGGAUAAUGGUGACUCAGAGAUAACAGUGUGCUGCUGAAAGUCAUUGAGGUGGUUGGCUACAUUUUGUAUGGAUUAUCUUUCUUGAUGCUGUCGUGGUCUUGAUCAACAUGUUCAUUGCUAUGAUGAAUUUGAAGACAUUCAGAAUGUCCAAAAGAUUGGUCAGCUAAGAAUCCUAAAAUGUUGGCCUGUUUACAAAUAUAAGAUCUUCCUUGACUACACAAGUACCUUACAGAAGAAGGGUACUCACUUGUGUUUGGAUAUGCCUGCUAGAUCAAGGCUUUCUUAGACUGGAUAUUAAUAUAGCCUUAUAUUAUGUUAAUGAUAGUUAUCUAAGUAUGUCCUGUACAAGCAUCAAUGACUGUAAGAUAAUUAAAGAUAUUCAUGAUUAUAAGAGAAGUAGAAUGGAAUGAAAAAGUUGGCAGCUGUUUUGGUAAUAAAUCAAGUGUUGUUUUUCUAAUAUCUGUAAUAUUUGUAGAUUCUUAAGUUAGAAAAUGUUUGUUUUUUUUGCCAGUCAAUUCUGUUUAGGUUUUAUUCUUUCUUUUUUUGUAUAUAGUCCCUAUGGCCCUAAGUCAUGGUCAAGCACAACAGAUAUUAUUCUAAGCAACUUUAUUUUACUGGGAAAUAUUCAACCAUAUAAGCUGUGAGGGAGAUCUGAAAGCCAUUGCUUACUUGUCUAGAAGAGUGGUAAAAGAUUUAGAUUAAUUUUAUACACCACAUAACAUAUUUUUAUGCUCAAGACAAUACUGUUCAUGAAUGGUUUAGUUUUUUUUAUGCUGAGAGUGUCCAAGAAAGAUAAGGUUAAGGUCAAUGGUUAAUUAGAGUUGUUGUUUUUUUUAAUGCUGUGAUGCUGUUAAAUUUUCCUUGUGUUUUUGUAAGAGUUUAAAGACAUUACCCAUUUUAUUUGUUUUACAAAUGUAGGACAAACAAGUUAAUAAGUAAGUCUUACAUUGUUGUUGUUUUUUAUUUACCAGGUAUUCAUUUACUUUGACUGUUGACUUUAAGUUAGAAAUUAAACAAAGAUUUCUUUAAGCUAUAUUUGUCCAUGACCAUAGGCAUUAAAGAAAGUUGACACAGCUAAUUGUACUUUUUAACAAGAUAUGUCAAGAAAUUAAGAGGUUUUGAUGGAAUUCUGUGGUUGAAUAAUCACAUGUAAAAUGAAUCACAGGAUUCCAUCAAAAAUGUAAAAUGUUAAAGAAAUUUUAAAAGAAUAAAAUAUAAUCCAUGAGAACGGAUACCAGUACAGGUGUUGAGACCUAAGAAGCAAUGAUAACUGGAUAUGUUUUUAUUUGAAACCACUGGCAUGUAUUUUACUUGUUACUAAUAACUUAAUUUACUUUUUAAUAUUUGCAUUAUCAACUGUAGUUUUCUUUUUAAGAGUUCUUUAUGAAAAUGUUACCACUGAAUACUUCUGUAUUACUAGACUUUAUUCAACUAUGCUUUGUAAAUGAAAUGGCAUAUUCUUUGAAUUACAUAAUUAAGUUCUUUAUAGAUAUAUGAUAAUAACAUCUUAAAUUUAAUGUAGUUUCUGCACUGAAUAAUUUUUUAAAAUGUUUUAAAAAUUUUGGAUUAUUUAUAUUAAGUUUGUUUUGUUUGUAUAUAUAUAGAAUACAUUUAUCAUAUUAAAAGAAUGUAUUUUCUUUUAUUGUAGUUUUUAUAGUCAUUUUUAGAGUUGAGUGUAGAUUCAUUUACAUUUAACCUUGUUGGUAGUGUCAAUGUUAUUAAGUUUACAUCAAAGUAUUUAAGAAUAGUCCUGGGUGUUACCCACAUUGUUCAUGUUGUAAAGAUCCGGCAGAGUUUUAUGCCACGUGAACCAGUAGAUCAGUAUGUCGAUUAGCUUUUAAAAUAUAGUUUUGACGGAAUGAACAUCUGUUGUAAGAGGUUUAGGGUACACAACUCUAGCAAUAUCGUUAAAAAUAAAAUAUUCUGAUCAAGUUUAUAUUUUUGGGACAGAAUAUGCUAAUGUGUUAAAUGUACAUCUUUUUUAAUUUUAAGAAUAACAACUGAUAUUAUGUUUAAUUCCUCUGUAUAUUUCUACAUUAGAGGCAUUGUUAUAUUAAUUUGUUAAAUUUCUAUGAAGUGUAACUUCUAAUCGAAUUGUCUCCAUUUUAAAAUCAAAUGUCUGAAUGAAACAAGUUUUUGUGAUUCUAUCUAAAAGUACUAUCAGGACUACCAAUGCACCUUUGUUUGGAACUAAACAUUUAUUUAUGCAGCAGAGUUUCAGUUUUAUUGUGACAUUCCAAAACGUUGUUAACUUUCAAUAAGCAGUGCCUCUUAUACAUUGAAUUGUGAUUAACUCAUUUUGAUAUUUAUGUAUACAUUGUAAUAAAAGUGGCAUUCAUUUUACAA